rnacentral:tRNA from 1 species
UGAUAUAUAGCUCAACAGCACAGCACCUGCCUGACAAGCAUAAGGUCCUGAGUUCAAUUCCCAGUAUCAC